rnacentral:lncRNA from 1 species
UAAGACCCAUUUCUUCUGAGGAGAGCAGUAGAUUUCAUCAAUAUCACAUGGCAAUACAUUGACUGUGGAAAUGAGGUGUAAAUCUGGAAUUCUAAAGAUGUACAGGUUACCCAAGAUAUCGCCUGCCUGAAAUCAGAGCAGUGGCACCUGGUCAGUGAGGAAAAGUUAAGUAUGGAGGAAGCAGUGUUAUCUGCUCAGAGAUACACCACUGUGUCUUCAAGUCCUGUAACAAGACUGAAAGCUGUGACCAGCCUGCCUCACAGAGUGUCUACACUGAUCCAUGGAAUAAGAUUCUCUAGACCUGGGGGGAUGACUCAGUCCCACAGAUGGUAGCAAGAAGAUGGUUCCAUCCAUGUAAGACAGAACCAGCUAAAAAAGACGCACACACAGACACACAUCAGAACUCCAAAUUUCUGGAUACCGACAGUGUUCCUGGUCAGCUUCCUCCUGUCUCUCUCACAGGUUUCAGCUGCAAGUAGCCUGCUCUCCAGGCUCUGCAGCCCCUUGGCUUUGAUCUGUGAAUAUACAAAUAUCUCUGCUCUGCAGCUGCACCUGCCCUAACUCUCUGCCUCCUCAAACAGCAGUGUUGCUCUGAGCUCUGUCCCUCCCUCCUCACCACAGCAUCCCAAGAGUGCGGCCCACACCAAGGGAGCGACCGCUGGCCCCCGCCCCAGGGAAAGGAGUCCCAGAAUGGACUGCGGACCAACGGACAAAGCGCCAGGGCAUCAAAACAGACCAUGGUGUGCUCUUAUGCAAACCAUUACAGGGCCUGCUGUCACAAGUCCACCUGAGACAGCUCCAUCUCCUGAGACCUACAGACAAAAGCUGCCUUCCUCCAAGAACCUCAUCUGACUGAAGACUCCCAAGACACACACUAAAUCCUACAAAAGACAGACUUGGGACCUUCCAGCUACAGAUGAACUCUCUUGCCAAAGCCAAAUGGCUGCUGAACUUGGGGAAAAUUACAUGAUAGUGAGGAAAACAUAAUGUCUAUCUAGAUUAAUUAAUUGAUGUUCAAAACUGAUGUUAUUAGCCUCAAAUUGUACUACCCAUGGAAAAAUUAAUUGAUCGUACAAUCUCUUACCUUCUCAACACUUACCUUAACUCUUACUACUGUGGCUUUGUUGUGCUACUUCUCUAGGCUAUAUGUUUUCUUCUGAUACUUCCACUCCACCCUAAAUUUUCACAACUAAAAAAAGCCUCUCAUCUUCUGGGCCUGAUGGCCAGACUACCUCUGCCAGAGUCAAGAUGGAACUGUCCACUGCAGGUCCCACCAGAUGGAUGACUCUAUUGUCUCCAAGGGAAACAACUGAACUGACAAGGUCCUGACCUCGGCCUACCAACUCCUUAAUGUCACACAACCUGGCCACUUUAAAGAUUGCUGGCUAUGUGUACCCCCUGGAAUUAACUCACAAUUGCCAGUUACAUCUUUUCUGAUGACUCUGUCAAGUAAACUU